rnacentral:rRNA from 1 species
UAGGGAAUCUUCCACAAUGGACGCAAGUCUGAUGGAGCAACGCCGCGUGAGUGAAGAAGGUUUUCGGACCGUAAAGCUCUGUUGUUGGUGAAGAAGGAUAGAGGUAGUAACUGGCCCUUUAUUUGACGGUAAUCAACCAGAAAGUCACGGCUAACUACGUGCCAGCAGCCGCGGUAAUACGUAGGUGGCAAGCGUUGUCCGGAUUUAUUGGGCGUAAAGCGAGCGCAGGCGGAAGAAUAAGUCUGAUGUGAAAGCCCUCGGCUUAACCGAGGAAUUGCAUCGGAAACUGUUUUUCUUGAGUGCAGAAGAGGAGAGUAGAACUCCAUGUGUAGCGGUGGAAUGCGUAGAUAUAUGGAAGAAUACCAGUGGCGAAGGCGGCUCUCUGGUCUGCAACUGACGCUGAGGCUCGAAAGCAUGGGUAGCGAACAGGAUUAGAUACCCUGGUAGUCCAUGCCGUAAACGAUGAGUGCUAAGUGUUGGGAGGCUUCCGCCUCUCAGUGCUGCAGCUAACGCAUUAAGUACUCCGCCUGGGGGAGUACGACCGCAAGGUUGAAAC